UCAUGCCUGGUUGAUGAAUAAUAAUGUUCCCGUCGAAGAUGUUAAAGAGCGUUGGAGAAGAACAGUAAAGUUUCGUCUUGAUAGUAUCAAAGAUCUGCAGAACGAAAGAAAUAAGUUCCAGAAGCUUUUGGAGGUGUGGCCUCGGUUUAAGGAUAGCGAAGGAGCAGUUUAUCUGGACAUUGAUUACAAUGCUCUAACGGACGGAAAAGGAAACGGACUCUUAGUUGGUUGGCCCUCGUUUUCUGAAAAGUUUAUGGAAUACGUCACUGCUAAUGAACCACGGGAGAAAUCUUGCCUAGAAAUUAUUGAUAAACUGCAUCGGACGGACAUUUCAGUGUGCUCUCGUAAUUUUCUCAUCUAUAAAUUGUUCCCCGGUGUCAUCAAACCAAAACGUAUUGGUGGAAGAACCCUUCCUUCAAUUGCACAAGCGCAGUCGGAUUCUCUCAUACACUGUUUAACAGCAAGCGAUAUUGGUCCAACACUUGAAAAGCUGAAAGAGAAGAAAACUUGUUAUCAACCAAGUAUCAUCGUUGUCGGUGCUGAGGAC